UAAAUUUUUUGUUAAUUAAUUUAGUAAAACUUCAUAAUACUCCCUAAAUUUUUUUUUUUUUUUAAUACUCCCUAAAUUGGUUAACUAACUACUAUAAAAUCGCUAUUCUCUAGAAAAACGGAGAAAACAAAGGUUCCAAACUUCUUUGACCUUCAUCACAUGUUAGUGAAGGAUGCAACUAUGCAAUAAAAUAGAAUUUUAAUUUUUUUGAUUUUUUGUCAAAAUCUAUGGUUAACCCCUACGAAAAUAUUUAAUUUUCCGUAAAUACUCUAUAUACUGAAGCAUAU
rnacentral:lncRNA from 1 species